rnacentral:lncRNA from 11 species
CUAAUCACGGCUUCAACCCAAUGUGUUCAACAGUUCCCACUUUUUUCUCGAGAUUGAAGCCUUCGACAACAGCGGUGUUGAGCUCAGCCGAACAUCGCCGCCCGUUUUCUCCAAGCCCAUGGACUCCAACAUCCGCCAAUGUGCCUCUGCCAAUUGCGAAGAUAUGGAUUCCCCACAGUCUCUCCAGGAUGACAUGACCGAAUACACCCCAAAUGCAGAAAGCUAUUGGUGAGAAGAUGCGAAAUAUCCUUCUCAGGAAGGUAGAAGGAAGAGUUUGGGAGAGAGGGUUUGGGAGCGAGGGUUUGGGAUAGAGGGUUUGUGGAUGAAGGUUUAGGAAUGAGGGUUUGGGAGUGAGGGUUUGAGAGAAAGGGUUUGGGAGAGAGGGUUUGGGAGAGAGGGUUUGGGGAUGAGGGUUUGGGAACAAGGGUUUGGGAGAGAGGGUUUGGGAGCGAGGGUUUGGGAGAGAGGGUUUGAGAGAGAGGGUUUGGGAGAGAGGGUUUGGGAGAGAGGAUUUGGGAGCGAGGGUUUGGGAGAGAGGAUUUG